UACGUAGGGUGCGAGCGUUAAUCGGAAUUACUGGGCGUAAAGCGUGCGUAGGUGGUUCGUUGUGUCUGUGGUGAAAGCCCCGGGCUUAACCUGGGAAUGGCAUUUGGGACUGCAAGGCUUGAGUGCGGCAGAGGAGACUGGAAUUCCUGGUGUAGCAGUGAAAUGCGUAGAUAUCAGGAGGAAUACCGAUGGCGAAGGCAGGUCUCUGGGCUGACACUGACGCUCAUGCACGAAAGCGUGGGGAGCAAGCAGG
rnacentral:rRNA from 1 species